CGAACGGGUGAGUAAUACAUCGGAACGUGUCCUGUAGCGGGGGGAUAACCUCUCGAAAGAGAGGCUAAUACCGCAUACGACCUAUGGGUGAAAGAGGGGGAUCGCAAGACCUCUCACUAUUGGAGCGGCCGAUGUCGGAUUAGCUAGUUGGUGGGGUAAAAGCCUACCAAGGCUACGAUCCGUAGCUGGUCUGAGAGGACGGCCAGCCACACUGGAACUGAGACACGGUCCAG
rnacentral:rRNA from 1 species